GAAAUGCGAUAAGUAAUGUGAAUUGCAGAAUUCAGUGAAUCAUCGAAUCUUUGAACGCACCUUGCGCCCGCUGGUAUUCCGGCGGGCAUGCCCGUUUGAGUGUCUUGAAACCAUCAACCCCCCGCCUUUGCGGGCGCGGGGGUUGGACGUGGGGGCCUUUGCUGCGCGCGAGCGCGGCUCCCCUUAAAUGCAUCGGUUGGGCUUGGGAUCGCCUGCGUGCCUCUGGCGUUGUAUCUACCUCGCUUGCUGGCCAUCGGCUUUCCCCUUGCGCGCUCGGCCUUGACCUUGCCUCUGGAGCGGCGGUCGACUUUGACGGUUUUCACCGUUCUUUCUUCUGACCUCAAAUCGGGUAGGACUACCCGCUGAACUUAA
rnacentral:misc_RNA from 1 species